UCAACGUGAAGAAAUUCAAGCAAGCGCGGGUAAACGGCAGGAGUAACUAUGACUCUUUUAAAGGUAGCCAUAUGCCUCGUCAUCUAAUUAGUGACGCGCAUGAAUGGAUUAACGAGAUUCUCACUGUCCCUAUCUACUAUCUAGCGAAACCACAGCCAAGGGAACGGGCUUGGAAAAAUCAGCGGGGAAAGAAGACCCUGUUGAGCUUGACUCUAAUCUGGCAUUGUUCGGAGACAUGCCGAGGUGUAGCAUACGUGGGAGACCCGGACCAAGGCGGGCGGUUUCGGCCGUUCGUCUCCGGGCCGACCUUGAAAUACCACUACUCGCAUCGUUUCCCCACUUACUCGGUAGAGCGGAACGCGCGGUUCCGGCCGCGGGCGCGUCCGGCCGGCGGUCGUCGUCCCGUCGCGUCGUCGGUUUGCCGUCGGUUCGCCGGCGCGCUACUGGCGCGCGGCGUGGUCGCCGUGCCGUCGGCCUGUGCCCGUUCGUGCCGGGCCGCGGUUGAUAUUCCGGUAGCGUUAAGCACCAGCCGAGGGAUCCGGGCGUCAAACCGCGGACCGCGUCCGUCCGCGUACGGCCGACCGUCAAAAGUCGCCGUCCGCGUUCGCGGCGUAUCCGCGGGCCCGGUCCCUGGUGCGAUCCGUAUUCCGAGGACACCGCCAGGUGGGGAGUUUGACUGGGGCGGUACAUCUGUCAAAAAAUAACGCAGGUGUCCUAAGGCCAGCUCAGCGAGGACGGAAACCUCGCGUAGAGCAAAAGGGCAAAUGCUGGCUGAUCCC
rnacentral:ncRNA from 1 species